GACAAGGGUUUUGGAGUCACACAUGUAGGUCUUACUAUUUUAGCAAAGUUAAAAGAAAACUACAAACCAAAAUAGAUAAGAUAUUCACUAAAUAUGAGUAUAAGCUUACGUUUUAAUGAAAACAAGAAAUCACAUGUUGGACGGCAUGUCUUUUUGUGAAUAAAAAUGCUACAUAUCAUCCAUUUACCAAAAAUGAUCAAUUUUCAAUAUCAAUGAUGGUUGUUUUCAAAUAUGUGUGAGACCUGACUCAGGAAAUUGCAAUGUUAGUUUCAUUAUAUUAGAUUUAAGUGUUCAAACUAAUGAUUCAUAUGAAAAUCAAAAGAUGAGGGAGGGUAUAAAUGUAAGGUUAUUUUAAAGUGAUGUGAUGAUUUUAUCAUGAUAAUAUCAUGUAGAAGUAUGUAGAAUUGAAAAACGAAUAAGAUUUUUUAUUUAAGGAGGUUGAACAAUUAACCUCUUAAAGAUUGGAAAUAGAUGCUUUAAUUAAAUUUAUGGAGAACCCUAUGAAUCUGUUUUAAAUAGAGGGAAGUGGAAAUGGUGGGUUCACUUAAAUGGCCAUAUUUUUCUUAAAUUUCAAUGGAAUUGGCAAAAUGUCGUACACUUUUUCUCACAAUAGCACUAGCUUUUUAAUUUUAAGACCAGAUGACUUUUCAGAGAAUGUUACUUAAAGGUAGCAAGGGACAGUUUGGCAUAAAGUACCCGUCAAUAUUUCUGUAAAAAUGAGAGUUGCUAUACUUGAAGGUUUAUUAGUAUUGUUAAAUUUCAUGAAAUAAUUAUACCCUUGCUCUGACAGAGAAGGGGGUAUACUAUUUUACCCCUCUGUGUCUUUCUGUCCAUCCAUAGCAAAAAUUUAUGUCACAUUUUUCUCAGCAACUAUUUAUUGCAGAUGCUUGACAUUUUAACACACUAUUUGUUUAGGCAUGCCACAUAGUGGGAUAUAUAUUUGUUGAAAUCAGCUGACAACUUCCUGUUAAAUAACUACUGUUAAUUUUAGCCUACCAGGUAAAUUUUUAUCAAAGAUAUCUCAGCAAUUAUUUAUCGCAGGUGAUUGAAAUUUUAACACACUAUUUGUUUAGGCAUGCCAUAUUGUGCAAUAUAUUUCUGUACCAAACGGACGUCAACUUCCUGUUAAAUGAGGACUUUGUUUAUUUUUAGCCUAAAUUUUCAAACAAAUUUUCAUAAAAGAUUUCUCAGCAACUAUUUAUCGUUGAUGCUUGAAAUUAAUUUUAACACACUAUUUGUUUAUCUCUUGAGAUGUAUUUAUGUACAAAUCAGAUGCCAACCUCUGUUAAAUGUCAACUUUGCUUAAUUUGCAUAUUCACAUCAGAGUGGGGGUAUCAUUAGUGAGCAUUUGCUCCCAUAUAUCUUGUUCUUAAUGAUUAUCAUAAGUUCGAGUGAUGUCUCUUGUUGAAAUUAAUAUGCAAUAUGUAGGCCCCAUAUGUUAAGUACAUGAGAAAGAAGGAAAAUGCUUAACCUGUGACUAUGACUGUUGUGUUGACUUUACACAGUGAAAUUGAUAGUUACAGAGGGGUGUUAAAAUAAAACGAAAAGUAGGUGGAUGGGACAUUGUAAACAUACACCGACGAGUUUCUGAUGUGAUGGUACAACAUGCACACAGAACGAAAGGUCAACCCUUUGCAGGGUAAUAGUUGGGGAAGGUCUGAAAAGCUGAAAAAUCAUGAAAAAUUAGCAAAGUAUGAAAGGGUCAAAAUAUCAUAAAAACCAGUAUGUAGAAAAUUUUACAGGUUUUGACUAGUAAAUUCUUCAAUAAUUGGUGAUUGACCCAAUAAAGAGUGAAUUAAAUCUAUUUGUGCAAAAUGGGAACUAAGGAAAUUCUAGUUACAGAGUUGCGAAGACAUUUAUCCCCUGGCUACAAUGAAUUGUAUAACACCAACUGUCCCGUGCCACUUAUGUCAAUUCAAACUUGCAAAUAUGUAUAUAUAAUGAAAAUUACAGUGCACUUUGAUAAAAUUUUCAACUUCACUUAAUACUGUUUAGAAUCUUUAUAUUUCUAAAAUUGUAGUAAAUAAUUCUUCAACCUUACUGUAUAUUAUUACUUUUGUAAAUCAUUAUAUAUCCUAUCAAAAUAUGCCCCAAAAAAUACAUGUGAUUGCCAUGUGGGUAAAAAUUUUUUAUGAAAUUUGGUUAAUGUAUACGACUGCCACAUCAGUUUUUUUAAUUGGAGUGGCGUUUAAUCUGAAUAGUUAUGUAAUUGUCAUUUCACUUUCAAUAACUUCAGAUAUCUUGAAAUGAACUUAAAGGAAGAUAUAUUUAAGAGAUAAUA
rnacentral:sRNA from 1 species